GAUGAAGAACGUAGCGAAAUGCGAUAAGUAAUGUGAAUUGCAGAAUUCAGUGAAUCAUCGAAUCUUUGAACGCACAUUGCGCCCGCCAGCAUUCUGGCGGGCAUGCCUGUUCGAGCGUCAUUUCAACCCUCGAGCCCCCCCGGGGGCCUCGGUGUUGGGGGACGGCACACCAGCCGCCCCCGAAAUGCAGUGGCGACCUCGCCGCAGCCUCCCCUGCGUAGUAGCACACACCUCGCACCGGAGCGCGGAGACGGUCACGCCGUAAAACGCCCAACUUUUUAGAGUUGACCUCGGAUCAGGUAGGAAUACCCGCUGAACUUAAGCAUAUCAAUAAGCGGAGGA
rnacentral:misc_RNA from 1 species